rnacentral:lncRNA from 1 species
AUAUAUACAUAUAGGUAGUUAGUUAAAGUGCUAAAGGGCAAAGGAAAGCAAAAGGAAAUAAGGAGUGUGGGGGCAGAGCUGCAGCUCAGCUGGGUGGCCAGAGAAGUCUUCCUUUAAAGAUGACCUUGAAGACCAGGGUCAAGCCCUGUAGCUCUCUGAGAGGAAAAGAUUCCAGGUAGAGGGAACAGCAAGAGCGGGUGCCCUGAGGCUUGGUCUGCUGCAGGAAGCACCAGGAGCAGGCACAGCGUCAUCUUACCUGCUUCCCUAGGAUUUUCGUUCGAUCCCAUGACCUAAAAGGCCGGCAAGACUCACAGGGGAGCCGGCUCUCGUGAUAUGGACCUUACCGGCCUGGUUACGCUGUCCUCAUCCCAGCACCCUCGAAUUCACUGAGAGGGAGUAUGUCCUCUGUCAAGAUAUGAGCGGUGGAGAAACACACCCCCCGCCCCUGCUUCCCACAGAAAGCCAGUCUCCCCAAAAGCCCGUCCCCACUUGGAUCCUUUUUUAUUACUCUCGGGAAAGUGGUGUGAAAAUUUGAUAAGGCAAGACAUCAAAGUUCUGGUGUAGUCAGAGAGGGCUCUCACUUGCUGAUAAUGUGCAGAUACGCCGGGUCCAAAAGCACUUUCUUACAGCUUCGGGGUUGCUGCUCAGUCCUGGAGUGCCGAAGCACCCACUGAGUCAGCUCGCUCCCAACCACUCCGCCUUCCAGAACAUCAUCACCGCAAAUCUGCUGUGCAAUGCUGAUUUCUGAGAUCAUCCCCCAGGUGAAAAUGAACCAUCCCUCGGGACUGGGGUGGGAUAGGACGUUGUCUCCACAACCACGGCAAUAAUGAUGGCCCAUGGCAGACACCUGGGCUCUCCCAGGUAGAUGGUCAUUUUCUUAGGAACACAGGUGUUCCAAGUGUGACAUGUGCGAAGGAUUCUCCUCUUGGUUCAGUCCUGCCACAAGAAUCUCAUUACCAGAUGUUGCCAUGUUUCCAACCUUUAAAUCUCUCCUUUGGAAUAUAGGAGCCUGGGUUUUGCCUCUAAAUAAAUGAGGCCCUCGGGGGCAUCCCAUGGGGAUGAGGAUGAAACAAGCCUGGCCAUGAGUUGGUAAUUGUCAUCGUUGAAUUGUGUGAUGGGU